rnacentral:rRNA from 1 species
UUUCGGAUCGUAAACUCCUUUCGAUCGAGACGAAUGGCCUCCGGGUGAAUAAUCCGGAGGAAUGACGGUACCGAGAGAAGAAGCCCCGGCUAACUCCGUGC